rnacentral:rRNA from 1 species
GACGAACGCUGGCGGCGUGCUUAACACAUGCAAGUCGAACGGAAAGGCCCUGCUUUUGUGGGGUGCUCGAGUGGCGAACGGGUGAGUAACACGUGAGUAACCUGCCCUUGACUUUGGGAUAACUUCAGGAAACUGGGGCUAAUACCGGAUAGGAGCUCCUGCUGCAUGGUGGGGGUUGGAAAGUUUCGGCGGUUGGGGAUGGACUCGCGGCUUAUCAGCUUGUUGGUGGGGUAGUGGCUUACCAAGGCUUUGACGGGUAGCCGGCCUGAGAGGGUGACCGGCCACAUUGGGACUGAGAUACGGCCCAGACUCCUACGGGAGGCAGCAGUGGGGAAUAUUGCACAAUGGGCGGAAGCCUGAUGCAGCAACGCCGCGUGCGGGAUGACGGCCUUCGGGUUGUAAACCGCUUUCGCCUGUGACGAAGCGUGAGUGACGGUAAUGGGUAAAGAAGCACCGGCUAACUACGUGCCAGCAGCCGCGGUGAUACGUAGGGUGCGAGCGUUGUCCGGAUUUAUUGGGCGUAAAGGGCUCGUAGGUGGUUGAUCGCGUCGGAAGUGUAAUCUUGGGGCUUAACCCUGAGCGUGCUUUCGAUACGGGUUGACUUGAGGAAGGUAGGGGAGACUGGAAUUCCUGGUGGAGCGGUGGAAUGCGCAGAUAUCAGGAGGAACACCAGUGGCGAAGGCGGUUCUCUGGGCCUUUCCUGACGCUGAGGAGCGAAAGCGUGGGGAGCGAACAGGCUUAGAUACCCUGGUAGUCCACGCUGUAAACGGUGGGUACUAGGUGUGGGGUCCAUUCCACGGGUUCCGUGCCGUAGCUAACGCUUUAAGUACCCCGCCUGGGGAGUACGGCCGCAAGGCUAAAACUCAAAGGAAUUGACGGGGCCCCGCACAAGCGGCGGAGCAUGCGGAUUAAUUCGAUGCAACGCGUAGAACCUUACCUGGGUUUGACAUGGAUCGGGAGUGCUCAGAGAUGGGUGUGCCUCUUUUGGGGUCGGUUCACAGGUGGUGCAUGGCUGUCGUCAGCUCGUGUCGUGAGAUGUUGGGUUAAGUCCCGCAACGAGCGCAACCCUUGUUCACUGUUGCCAGCACGUUAUGGUGGGGACUCAGUGGAGACCGCCGGGGUCAACUCGGAGGAAGGUGGGGAUGACGUCAAGUCAUCAUGCCCCUUAUGUCCAGGGCUUCACGCAUGCUACAAUGGCUGGUACAGAGAGUGGCGAGCCUGUGAGGGUGAGCGAAUCUCGGAAAGCCGGUCUCAGUUCGGAUUGGGGUCUGCAACUCGACCUCAUGAAGUCGGAGUCGCUAGUAAUCGCAGAUCAGCAACGCUGCGGUGAAUACGUUCCCGGG